GACGAACGCUGGCGGCGUGCUUAACACAUGCAAGUCGAGCGGAAAGGCCCUUCGGGGUACUCGAGCGGCGAACGGGUGAGUAACACGUGAGUAACCUGCCCCAGACUUUGGGAUAACCCUCGGAAACGGGGGUUAAUACCGGAUACGACACAGCUUCGCAUGGGGUCUGUGUGGAAAGUUUUUCGGUUUGGGAUGGGCUCGCGGCCUAUCAGCUUGUUGGUGGGGUGAUGGCCUACCAAGGCGACGACGGGUAGCCGGCCUGAGAGGGCGACCGGCCACACUGGGACUGAGACACGGCCCAGACUCCUACGGGAGGCAGCAGUGGGGAAUAUUGCACAAUGGGCGGAAGCCUGAUGCAGCGACGCCGCGUGAGGGAUGACGGCCUUCGGGUUGUAAACCUCUUUCAGCAGGGACGAAGCGUAAGUGACGGUACCUGCAGAAGAAGCGCCGGCCAACUACGUG
rnacentral:rRNA from 1 species